CGAACGCUGGCGGCAUGGCUAAAACAUGCAAGUCGAACGAGAAUCCCCUUCGGGGGAGGACAGUGGCGAAAGGGCGAGUAAUACGUUUCUACGUACCCUGAGGUCGGGGAUAGCCCGGGGAAACUCGGAUUAAUACCCGAUGAUAUCGCAAGAUCAAAGUCGCAAGACGCCUUUGGAGCGGGGAACGUCCUAUCAGGUAGUUGGUGAGGUAACGGCUCACCAAGCCGAAGACGGGUAGCGGGUGUGAGAGCACGGCCCGCCGCAUCGGGACCGAGACACUGCCCGGACUCCUACGGGAGGCUGCAGUAACGAAUCUUCCGCGAUGCACGAAAGUGUGACGGAGCAAUGCCGCGUGCAGGAUGAAGCCCUUCGGGGUGUAAACUGCUGUCAGGGGUCACCAACACAAUGAGGAGCCCCAAAGGAAGGGCCGGCUAACUCUGUGCCAGCAGCCGCGGUAAAACAGAGGGCCCGAGCGUUGCGCGGAAUCACUGGGCUUAAAGCGUGCGUAGGCGGAUCGUUAAGUGUUUUGUGAAAUCCCACGGCUCAACCGUGGAAUUGCAGGGCAAACUGGCGAUCUUGAGGUCGGUAGGGGUCGUUGGAACGCUAGGUGGAGCGGUGAAAUGCGUAGAUAUCUAGCGGAACGCCGAAGGUGAAGACAAGCGACUGGGCCGAUUCUGACGCUGAGGCACGAAAGCGUGGGGAGCGAACGGGAUUAGAUACCCCGGUAGUCCACGCCCUAAACGAUGUGCACUAGGUCGUGGGAGUUCUGACACUCUCUCGAUCGAAGCGAAAGUAAUUAGUGCACCGCCUGGGGAGUACGGUCGCAAGGCUAAAACUCAAAGGAAUUGACGGGGGCUCACACAAGCGGUGGAGCAUGUGGCUUAAUUCGAAGCAACGCGAAGAACCUUAUCCUGGGUUUGACAUGCACGGAUUAGUCCUGUGAAAGCAGGGCAACGCCUUCGGGUGGAACGUGCACAGGUGCUGCAUGGCUGUCGUCAGCUCGUGCUAUGAAGUGUCGGGUUAAGUCCCUUAACGAGCGCAACCCCUGUCGUCAGUUGCUAACGCGUCAUGGCGAGGACUCUGGCGAGACUGCCGGUGUCAAACCGGAGGAAGGUGGGGAUGACGUCAAGUCCGCAUGGCCUUUAUGCCCAGGGCUGCACACGUGCUACAAUGGCGCGCACAGAACGAAGCAAUAGCGCAAGCUGGAGCAAAUCGCUCAAAACGCGCCCCAGUUCGGAUUGAGGGCUGCAACCCGCCCUCAUGAAGUCGGAAUCGCUAGUAAUCGCGGAUCAGCUACGCCGCGGUGAAUACGUUCCUGAGCCU
rnacentral:rRNA from 1 species